rnacentral:rRNA from 1 species
UGGGGAGCAAAUAGGAUUAGAUACCCUAGUAGUCCACGCCGUAAACGAUGAGUACUAAGUGUUGGAUGUCAAAGUUCAGUGCUGCAGUUAACGCAAUAAGUACUCCGCCUGAGUAGUACGUUCGCAAGAAUGAAACUCAAAGGAAUUGACGGGGGCCCGCACAAGCGGUGGAGCAUGUGGUUUAAUUCGAAGCAACGCGAAGAACCUUACCAAGUCUUGACAUCCCCCUGACCGGUACGUAACGGUGCCCUUCCUUCGGGACAGGGGAGACAGGUGGUGCAUGGUUGUCGUCAGCUCGUGUCGUGAGAUGUUGGGUUAAGUCCCGCAACGAGCGCAACCCUUAUCGUUAGUUACCAUCAUUAAGUUGGGGACUCUAGCGAGACUGCCAGUGACAAGCUGGAGGAAGGCGGGGAUGACGUCAAAUCAUCAUGCCCCUUAUGACCUGGGCUACACACGUGCUACAAUGGAUGGUGCAGAGGGAAGCGAAGCCGCGAGGUGAAGCAAAACCCAUAAAACCAUUCUCAGUUCGGAUUGUAGUCUGCAACUCGACUACAUGAAGUUGGAAUCGCUAGUAAUCGCGAAUCAGCAUGUCGCGGUGAAUACGUUCUCGGGCCUUGUACACACCGCCCGUCACACCACGAGAGUUGAUAACACCCGAAGCCGGUGGCCUAACCGCAAGGAAGGAGCUGUCUAAGGUGGGAUUGAUGAUUGGGGUGAAGUCGUAACAAGGUAUCCCUACGGGAACGUGGGGAUG